rnacentral:tRNA from 1 species
CGGGGCGUAGUUUAGUGGUAGAAUGAGCGGCUGGGGGUCGCUUGGUCUGAGUUCGAUUCUCAGCGCCCCGA